rnacentral:rRNA from 1 species
UACGUAGGGGGCUAGCGUUGUCCGGAUUUAUUGGGCGUAAAGAGCGUGUAGGCGGCCAGAUAGGUCUGCUGUGAAAACUCGAGGCUCAACCUCGAGAUGUCGGCGGAAACCAUUUGGCUAGAGUCCGGAAGAGGAAAGUGGAAUUCCUGGUGUAGCGGUGAAAUGCGCAGAUAUCAGGAGGAACACCGGUGGCGAAGGCGGGUCUCUGGGCCGAUACUGACGCUGAGGAGCGAAAGCGUGGGAGCGAACAGG